UACGGGGGGAGCAAGCGUUGUUCGGAAUCACUGGGCGUAAAGGGAGUCUAGGCGGUUUGGUAAGUGGGAUGUGAAAUGCCCCGGCUCACCCGGGGACCUGCAUCCCAAACUGCUGAGCUUGAGUACAGGAGAGGGUGGGGGAAUUCCCGGUGUAGAGGUGAAAUUCGUAGAUAUCGGGAGGAACACCAGUGGCGAAGGCGGCGACCUGGGCCAAUACUGACGCUGAGGUGCGAAAGCGUGGGGAGCAAACAGG
rnacentral:rRNA from 1 species